UGAAAGAUAUGGAAGAUAAGUGUAACUCCGGGGAAUCGCACGGUGCAAAAACCAAAGAACCGGACUUUCUUUUAACAAGCAACACUUACAAAUCUAUUAAAGAAGGUUAGUUAAUUUUUAUAUUAUUACACAUUACUUCACAUAUUUAUAACCUCUAUUAAUUUCUUCUUAUUAUAAAAGGAAAAGUUGCUACUGAGAAUUUGGGAUAAUUCUGAAGAAUAAGAAAGUCUUCCUGAUAUCUGUUAUUAUAUUUUGUUACAGACAGUUAUUAAACAAGGAAGAAAAAGAAGCUAUAGGCGAAGCGUAUAUACGCACCGAAAGAAUAAAAAAAUGAUGAUGCUGUGACAGAUGAAUAUCUAGAAAGUAGAGCGUCUUUUGUAGGAUCAAGUCUUUCUGUAACAAUUAGAGUAUCUAAGCCUCCAAAAAUUAUCGGUAUUUUUCCUUCGAAUUUAUUUCCAUUUUAAACUAUUCAUUAACUUUUGUAAAUCAAAUAUACCUACGUUACAUAUUAGAUGUUGCCGACGGUUUGACAAACUUGGUUCUUCAAAAACGACUAGUCUACCCUAUGCAGGAUUUAUAUGUCAUUCUAUAAUCCUUCUGUAAACACCGUCCGAUUUACGAAGAGAUACGACAAGACUUGCCACAGCCAAAGGUGCAUCAAUCGCUUGUGUAGAUGCCUCUCACAAGAGAAAGAAUGGUCAUUUUGGUCAAUCAAGGACCAAUGGGCCAGAUUUUCUUUCACCAAACACUCUCCUAUGUAUUAAAGAAAACAGUUCUUGAUCGAAAAGAAAAAGAGUUUAUACGCGAAGCGCGUGGCGUACCGGAAGUGUAAAGAAAUUGUGAGGCUGCGACAGAUGAAUGUCCAGAAAGUUGAUCGUCUUUUGUAGGACCAAGUCUUUCUGUAACAAUUGGAGCACUUAAGCUUGCAAAAAUU